GUUAUAUGGUCAAGCGAAUAAGCGCACACGGUGGAUGCCUUGGCGGUCAGAGGCGAUGAAGGACGUGGCAGCCUGCGAAAAGUAUCGGGGAGCUGGCAACAAGCUUUGAUCCGGUAAUGUCCGAAUGGGGAAACCCACCCGCUUGCGGGUAUCCUGCAGUGAAUACAUAGCUGCUGGAAGCGAACCUGGUGAACUGAAAUAUCUAAGUAACCAGAGGAAAAGAAAUCAACCGAGAUUCCGUAAGUAGCGACGAGCGAACGCGGACUAGCCCUUAAGCUGGAUUGGUUCUAGGAAAACGCUCUGGAAAGAGCGGCCAUAGAAGGUGAUAGCCCUGUAUCUGAAAGGGCCAUUCCAGUGAAGACGAGUAGGGCGGGGCACGUGAAACCCUGUCUGAACAUGGGGGGACCAUCCUCCAAGGCUAAAUACUACUGACCGACCGAUAGUGAACCAGUACCGUGAGGGAAAGGCGAAAAGAACCCCGGAGAGGGGAGUGAAAUAGAACCUGAAACCGUGUGCGUACAAGCAGUAGGAGCUCCGCAAGGAGUGACUGCGUACCUUUUGUAUAAUGGGUCAGCGACUUACUGUUCGUGGCAAGCUUAACCGUAUAGGGGAGGCGAAGGGAAACCGAGUCUGAUAAGGGCGCAUAGUCGCGGGCAGUAGACCCGAAACCGGGUGAUCUAGUCAUGCCCAGGGUGAAGGUGCGGUAACACGCACUGGAGGCCCGAACCCACUCCCGUUGCAAAGGUAGGGGAUGAGGUGUGAUUAGGAGUGAAAAGCUAAUCGAACCCGGAGAUAGCUGGUUCUCCUCGAAAGCUAUUUAGGUAGCGCCUCAUAUGUAUCCUCUCGGGGGUAGAGCACUGUUAUGGCUAGGGGGUCAUCGCGACUUACCAAACCAUUGCAAACUCCGAAUACCGAGACGGACUGUAUGGGAGACACACGGCGGGUGCUAACGUCCGUCGUGAAAAGGGAAACAACCCAGACCCACAGCUAAGGUCCCAAAUUCACUGCUAAGUGGAAAACCAUGUGGAAAGGCACAGACAGCCAGGAGGUUGGCUUAGAAGCAGCCACCCUUUAAAGAAAGCGUAAUAGCUCACUGGUCGAGUCGGUCUGCGGGGAAGAUUUAACGGGGCUAAGCAGUGAACCGAAGCUUGGGGUGCAUACUUUGUAUGCGCGGUAGAGGAGCGUUCCGUAAGCCGUUGAAGGUGGAUUGAGAAGUCUGCUGGAGGUAUCGGAAGUGCGAAUGCUGACAUGAGUAACGAUAAUGCGGGUGAAAAACCCGCACGCCGAAAGCCCAAGGUUUCCUUGCGCAACGUUAAUCGGCGCAGGGUGAGUCGGCCCCUAAGGCGAGGACGAAAGUCGUAGUCGAUGGGAAGCAGGUUAAUAUUCCUGCACCUCGCGUAAGUGCGAUGGAGGGACGGAGAAGGUUAGGUGUACCAGGCGUUGGUUGUCCUGGGGAAAGGCGGUAGGUUUGGAUCUUUGGCAAAUCCGGGAUCCUCUAAGACCGAGCACCGAGACGAGCCUUUAUGGCGAAGUCACUGAUACCACGCUUCCAGGAAAAGCUCCUAAGCUUCAGCUUACGCAGACCGUACCGUAAACCGACACAGGUGGGUAGGAUGAGAAUUCUCAGGCGCUUGAGAGAACUCGGGUGAAGGAACUAGGCAACAUGGCACCGUAACUUCGGGAGAAGGUGCACCCUUUUUGGUGGCUCGUGCGAGCUAUAGCUGAAGAGGGUCGCAGUAACCAGGCCGCUGCGACUGUUUAUCAAAAACACAGCACUCUGCAAACACGAAAGUGGACGUAUAGGGUGUGACGCCUGCCCGGUGCUGGAAGGUUAAUUGAUGGGGUCAGCCGCAAGGCGAAGCUCUUGAUCGAAGCCCCAGUAAACGGCGGCCGUAACUAUAACGGUCCUAAGGUAGCGAAAUUCCUUGUCGGGUAAGUUCCGACCUGCACGAAUGGCGUAACGACAGCGGCGCUGUCUCCACCCGAGACUCAGUGAAAUUGAAAUCGCUGUGAAGAUGCAGCGUUCCCGUGGCAAGACGGAAAGACCCCGUGAACCUUUACUAUAGCUUUACACUGAACGUUGAGUUCGUCUGUGUAGGAUAGGUGGGAGGCUAUGAAACCAUGGCGCUAGCUGUGGUGGAGCCAUCCUUGAAAUACCACCCUGUCGUGCUUGACGUUCUAACCUGGGCCCAUUAUCUGGGUCGGGGACCGUGUAUGGUGGGUAGUUUGACUGGGGCGGUCUCCUCCUAAAGAGUAACGGAGGAGCUCGAAGGUACGCUCAGCGCGGUCGGACAUCGCGCACUGUGUGCAAAGGCAUAAGCGUGCUUGACUGCAAGAUCGACGGAUCAAGCAGGUAGGAAACUAGGACUUAGUGAUCCGGUGGUUCUGUAUGGAAGGGCCAUCGCUCAACGGAUAAAAGGUACUCCGGGGAUAACAGGCUGAUACCGCCCAAGAGUUCAUAUCGACGGCGGUGUUUGGCACCUCGAUGUCGGCUCAUCACAUCCUGGGGCUGUAGUCGGUCCCAAGGGUAUGGCUGUUCGCCAUUUAAAGUGGUACGCGAGCUGGGUUCAGAACGUCGUGAGACAGUUCGGUCCCUAUCUGCCAUGGGCGUUGGAGAUUUGAGAGGGGCUGCUCCUAGUACGAGAGGACCGGAGUGGACGAACCUCUGGUGUUCCGGUUGUCACGCCAGUGGCAUUGCCGGGUAGCUAUGUUCGGAAGCGAUAACCGCUGAAAGCAUCUAAGCGGGAAGCGCGCCUCAAGAUGAGAUCUCCCGGGGCACAAGCCCCCUGAAGGAACCAUGUAGACUACGUGGUUGAUAGGUCAGGUGUGUAAGUACAGCAAUGUAUUGAGCUAACUGAUACUAAUGAUCCGUGCGGCUUGACCAUAUAACCU
rnacentral:rRNA from 1 species